UACGGAGGGUGCAAGCGUUGCUCGGAAUCAUUGGGCGUAAAGCGCACGUAGGCGGUCUGCUAUGUCGGAUGUGAAAGCCUCGGGCUUAACCCGAGAAGGGCAUCCGAAACUGGCCGGCUUGAGUACGGAAGAGGGUCUCGGAAUUCCCGGUGUAGAGGUGAAAUUCGUAGAUAUCGGGAGGAACACCAGUGGCGAAGGCGGAGACCUGGGCCGAUACUGACGCUGAGGUGCGAAAGCGUGGGGAGCAAACAGG
rnacentral:rRNA from 1 species